rnacentral:piRNA from 1 species
UCUGGUCGCUAUUGUGGAUAAUAG